CAAGCUGACCGGACGGCUGCUCCGAUAAUAUCGGAGAGGAAAGUCCGAACUCCACCAGGCAGGAUGCCCCGUAACGCAGGGGAGGGGUGACCCUACGGAAAGUGCAACAGAAACAUACCGCCCCGAUUCGUCGGGGUAAGGGUGAAAUGGUGGGGUAAGAGCCCACCGGCGCUCCGAGCAAUCGGGCGGCCGUGAAAACCCCAUCCGGAGCAAGACCAAAUAGGGGGCCAAAGGGACGCCUGGCCCGCGAGCCCCGGGUUGGUCGCUUGACCCCGAUAGCAAUGUCGGGGCUAGAGAAAUGGCCGUCGCCUUUGGACGUCCCGACUCGUCGGGAUCUUCGAGGGGCACAGAAUUCGGCUUACAGGUCAGCUUGGCCU
rnacentral:RNase_P_RNA from 1 species